UACGGAGGAUUCAAGCGUUAUCCGGAUUUAUUGGGUUUAAAGGGUGCGUAGGCGGUCGGAUAAGUUAGAGGUGAAAUCCCGAGGCUCAACUUCGGAAUUGCCUCUGAUACUGUUCGUCUAGAGAGUAGUUGCGGUAGGCGGAAUGUAUGGUGUAGCGGUGAAAUGCUUAGAGAUCAUACAGAACACCGAUUGCGAAGGCAGCUUACCAAGCUACUUCUGACGUUGAGGCACGAAAGCGUGGGGAGCAAACAGG
rnacentral:rRNA from 1 species